AGAUUCCUGCUUGCCCAGUAACUCUGAUUGACUUCUCUUCAGCAAAGUCAAAAAAACGAAAGCUUGAGUGUUCCAUUGAUGGCUGCACAAGUACACAAAAGUUAUGGAUGCAAACAUGAAGCACAAGCCAGAGGAGCAUAUGAGAAGCUUAUGAGCCAGGAGCAUGCAGGCUUCUCAUGUAUGGACAGCGGUCUCUGGCUGAACCCCAAGUGGCCAUACAUGGGGUCCUCCCCUGAUGGGAUAGUCACUUGUGACUGUCAUGGAACUGGCAUCUGCGAGAUUAAGUGCCCACACUCUCAGAAAGAUGCGGUCAACCUGCGCAUGCGUGCUGGGGAGAAGGGCUUCUGCCUCAUCAGUGACGGGGAUAAUGUCACACUGGACCCAACUCAUGACUACUAUUACCAAAUUCAGGCACAGCUUCACAUUGCAAAUGCAGAGUACUGUGACUUUGUUGUGUGGAACCGCAAUGACAUAUUUGUUGAAAGGAUUUUGCCUGACCUUGAGUUUUGGGAUGAUGCGAUUCCUAAAGUUGAGUGUUUUUUUAGAAACAGUAUACUCCCAGAAAUACUGGGACAGCAAGUUACAAACAUACAUGUGUAAUGUGAUAAAAGGACGACAACAUAAUGACAUUUUGAAUAUUGUUAUGACCUGAUGGUAGUCAUUAUGAGUUCU